CUAUAAGUCUUGUUUUUUCCACUUAAUGAUAUAUCCUGGGGCACAACUCUAUCUGUUCUCAUCCUGUUUGAUGGCUACAAAGUGCUCUCUGGCACACAACAUCCGCCUGUCUGCUGUUGAUGAACAGGCUCCAGCUGUCAACGUUUCAAAUAGAAUAAUGAAGUUCAGAGUCACCGCUCUGUGCUUCCCAUGGCCUUGAGAAGUCGGCUUCCAGGACGGAGGUGAUGAAGGCUGACUUGGCAAGGGGCUGGGAGGUUCUGCUCGAACCUUCACAAGCAGACUGGAGCUGAGGUCACAGACAGACUGCGCAGGUACCAGCGUCCUUGAUUUUCCAGCUUCAAAGUGAACGGCCUCUGAAGUAGGGGGACAGUCACACCUGCCUUGCUGCCGUUGAUUUCUGCCUUCCUGGCUGCAGACUCAACAAGACAACAAUGAGUCUGUUGACAUUUUCAAGGCCACAUUCAUAAACCAGCCAUGGGAAGCCUCUCUCCCCCUUUCUUUCAAAGUGAACAUGAAAACGUUGUGUACCCAGUAAGAAUUCAGCAACGAACUCAACUCCUCGGAGAUUGGAUCUUAAGUUCAGAUGCUUUAUGAAUCAGACACUAGCAGAUGACUGGUUUCUGGCCCCUGAAGCCUGCCUGAGAAGUGGACUACGUAUUACCCAGAAGCCUCUGGAACCUGUCAAGGAUGAUCUUCUGCUGUUACUAUCAGCUCCAUCCACCUCACUUUCCUUCUCCAGGCAAAAGCAGGUGCUGGUCGUGGUGAGCCAGAUGUGUCAGACUCAAAGACAAGUGUCAUAUGUUUGCUCUCAUAUGUGGAAGCUAGAGAGGAAAAAGGGAAAAGAAAGUUCUCACAAAAAUAGAAAGAAGACUGUUAGGGCAAAAGAAGAGGAUCAGGGCAGGGAGGAGAGAUACAGGACAGGGGACUGAAAUUAGUUAAAUUGUUACAUGCAUAUAUGAAUAUGCCACAAUAAAACCCACUAUCCUGUAUAAUUAAUAUGCACCAGUAAAAUGUUUAAUUAAAAUAAUAAAGUAAAACC
rnacentral:lncRNA from 1 species